UAGAUUUAGCCUUAGUCAGAGUUGGCAUGGUGUAGUCAUACACAGUCAAUAGAGGAUCAACCAUUUCUUCAAUAAUGUCUUCUUCCUCUUGAUUGUCUAUAAUAGUCCGAUGUUGAUCUUGUCUUGCUUCUUUAACCUUUCUUUGAUUUUUGCAAGUAGUUCUUUCAAUCACACUAUAAAAAAUUAUUGGUUCCAAUGGGUUGCCUCUAGUCAUAAACUAAAAGAACCUCUCACAAGCCAAAUGAAAGCGAAUUAAUAUAUUAAAAUUAAAUUAAAAACAAAAUAACAAAAAAUAAAAUAAAAAUGGUUAAAUUAACAUAAAUAAGAUUUUCCUAAUAUGUCCCCCAG
rnacentral:lncRNA from 1 species